CAGCCGCCGCGGUAACACGUAGGUGGUAAGCGUUGUCCGGAAUUAUUGGGCGUAAAGGGCUCGCAGGCGGUUUCUUAAGUCUGAUGUGGAAGCCCCCGGCUCAACCGGGGAGGGUCAUUGGAAACUGGGAAACUUGAGUGCAGAAGAGGAGAGUGGAAUUCCACGUGUAGCGGUGAAAUGCGUAGAGAUGUGGAGGAACACCAGUGGCGAAGGCGACUCUCUGGUCUGUAACUGAAGCUGAGGAGCGAAAGCGUGGGGAGCGAACAGGAUUAGAUACCCGCGUAGUCCCUGUCUCUUAUAC
rnacentral:rRNA from 1 species